GCUGGACUCCAGGCAGGCCCGGGCCCUCUCCCUCCCUCCGCCCCGUGGAGCAAAAUUGCUGUGCAGCGAACGCUACCGCCUCGCUUGUCGGCAGCGGGAGGGGAGGGUGGGGAGGGAGGCAUCUGUGCCUUCCUCCCGCCAGGCGGUCUCCACACGUCACUCGAGCUUGUCGUUCAGAAGGCCUGGGGUGCCUGGCAAUGGGGCAGGGAGCUGUCAGGAUGGGAAUGAAGUACCUGCAGCAUCCGGCCCAGGGACGUGAGCCAAUCCUGAGACACCCUGAGGCCGCUGACUCCUCCCCUGCCCAAUGGGAGAGGUUCCUGGCUGGUGGCCCAGGCUGGAGAGUACCUGAAGAAAUCACCCUUCUGCUCUGGAAAGCUCCAGAAUGAGACAUUCAUUCACUAGAUGCUCCAAGCCUGCAUCCACACAGCAGUUAAUGAUGAGGUCUACGUGGCGGAUGAGGAGCAGGAUGGUGAGCUUCAUCGCAUCGCAAUGUUCCCCACUCGGGAGAUAAGUUUGUUGCACGUAAUAAAAAAGCCGAUGUCAAAACACACCCAGUUCAUCAAGAAUGUGUG